UUAAGAAUCUUUUGCAAUGCGCGAAAGCGUGACAAAGCGAACCAGAGUGUUCUUCCAUAUUGGAAGAACUUUUGCUUACUGUAAAAAAGUAGGCGAAUAAGGACCGGGAAAGACUGGUGCCAGCCGCCGCGGUAAUCCCAGCGGUUCAAGUCGCAGCCACAAUUAUUGGGUCUAAAACAUCUGUAGCUUGCUAUGCAAGUCUCUUGUGAAAUCUCAUAUCUUAAGUAUGGGGCGUGCAAGAGAUACUGCAUUGCUAGGGACUGGAAGACGUAAGGAGUACAUAGAGGGUAUCGGUAAAAUGAGUUGAUCCUAUAUGGACUAACAAUAGCGAAGGCACCUUACGAGUACAGAUCUGACAGUGAGAGAUGAAGGCUAGGGUCGCGAAAGGGAUUAGAUACC
rnacentral:rRNA from 1 species